AAAAAAAAAAAAAAAAGGCUAGAUGAUUGUCCCUUUCCAAGGGCCUCUUUCCCCCUACCUUCUCCUAGGUAACUAGCAUGAAAACAAUGCUAUGCAAUUUUCAUGUCCUUCCCAAGGACCAAACUGGAAGAAACUUCAUGAAGCUCUUGAUAGACCAAGAACACAGCAAGAAGACAGCCUUUUGGAAAACUGAAAUAUGGGACUCACCGAGAACUUGACCAUGUUGGCAUCCUGAUCACAGCCUUCCAACCUACAGAACUGUGAGAAAUAACUCUUGUUAUGUAAGCCACCCUGUCUAUG